rnacentral:rRNA from 1 species
AUUGAACGCUGGCGGCAUGCCUUACACAUGCAAGUCGAACGGUAACGGGCCUUCGGGUGCCGACGAGUGGCGCACGGGUGAGUAAUACAUCGGAACGUGCCCGAUCGUGGGAGAUAACGAGGCGAAAGCUUUGCUAAUACCGCAUACGAUCUACGGAUGAAAGCAGGGGACCGCAAGGCCUUGCGCGGACGGAGCGGCCGAUGGCAGAUUAGGUAGUUGGUGGGAUAAAAGCUUACCAAGCCGACGAUCUGUAGCUGGUCUGAGAGGAUGAUCAGCCACACUGGGACUGAGACACGGCCCAGACUCCUACGGGAGGCAGCAGUGGGGAAUUUUGGACAAUGGGCGCAAGCCUGAUCCAGCCAUGCCGCGUGCAGGAUGAAGGCCUUCGGGUUGUAAACUGCUUUUGUACGGAACGAAAAGCCUUCUUUUAAUACAGGAGGGUCAUGACGGUACCGUAAGAAUAAGCACCGGCUAACUACGUG